GUGGGGAAUAUUGGACAAUGGGCGAAAGCCUGAUCUAGCCAUGCCGCGUGAGUGAUGAAGGCCUUAGGGUCGUAAAGCUCUUUCGCCGGGGAAGAUAAUGACUGUACCCGGUAAAGAAACCCCGGCUAACUCCGUGUCAGUAGCCGCGGUAAUACGGAGGGGGUUAGCGUUGUUCGGAAUUACUGGGCGUAAAGCGCGCGUAGGCGGAUCGGAAAGUUGGGGGUGAAAUCCCGGGGCUCAACCCCGGAAUUGCCUUCAAAACUCCCGGUCUUGAGGUCGAGAGAGGUGAGUGGAAUUCCGAGUGUAGAGGUGAAAUUCGUAGAUAUUCGGAGGAAAACCAGUGGCGAAGGCGGCUCACUGGCUCGAUACUGACGCUGAGGUGCGAAAGCGUGGGGAGCAAACAGGAUUAGAAACCCUAGUAGUCC
rnacentral:rRNA from 1 species